AUUGAUGAAGCAGACCGAGAUGGUAAGUCUGCUGUAUGUUGGAUGUAGUUUGCAGAAGUCUUAAUAGUGAUAUGGUUGAAAUUGUGUUCUUCUUGAUGAUAUUAUCUUAUGAAUUUUGUUAAAUUUUCAUUUUUUUGUAUUUAUUGUGGUUUCUUUUGUCUGAUUUCAUCUAUUUAUAAUAUGUUUUUUGCUAAACUUGAUGAUUCUUUUAAAAAAAUAAUAAUUGCCUGUAAACUAGAUUGUAUGCACAUAAGUAUAUAGUUUCCGAAAAUGUAAGUCAGGUGGAAGAUUUUCUCUCUAAUUUUUUGAUACAAGAUGAAUUUUUUAGUAGAAGAGGAGAAAUUAGGAGAUGAGGGUAUUUCUUUUUCUUAUUAGGUAUCAUCGCUUAUAUUUUUGCUUAGGAAGUCAAAUUUUGAAUUUGGUAGUCAAAAUGAUGGAAUAGAUAGCCUGCUUUAACAACUACGUAAGCACUUUUUUAAUACUGUUGCAUGUCAAACUUUGCAAUGAUGGUGACAGCCAGAGCCAGAAAUCAAUAUUACAAAGCAGCACAUUAUGUAAUAACAAUUCACUCUGUUUAGGGAAAUGAAAUGCUUUUAUUGGAGGUGUGAUGCAUCGUUCCCUUGGGUGUAGUUUUUAAAGAAUUCCUAUUCAUUUAUUCAUAGGAAUGGUACUGUGAUGUCUGGAAUGUCUGUCUUUUAUAGUCUGCUCUCACAUGCACAGAGACAUUGACGUUUUUGUAUGAUAAUAUGUUCUUGGGGCCUUCCUGCCAUACCUUGUGUCAUUUAGGUGGUUAUAAGGUGUUGCGGGCUGAAAUUUAGGGACACAACAAGAUGUUUAGUCUUAUGAAUUUGAAAUAUUGUGUUUGCAAGCAAAUUUUUUUCCAUUUAAUUGUAUAAGUUUGAGAUACUUUUUGCAUCUUGCAUAUUAAUGGGGUUGAUGUUCUAUGAAACGUGCAGGUGAUAGAGAAGUGGGUAUUGAU
rnacentral:misc_RNA from 1 species